AUGGGCGCAAGCCUGAUGCAGCCAUGCCGCGUGUGUGAAGAAGGCCUUCGGGUUGUAAAGCACUUUCAGUCGUGAGGAAGGUGGUGUAGUUAAUAGCUGCAUUACUUGACGUUAGCGACAGAAGAAGCACCGGCUAACUCCGUGCCAGCAGCCGCGGUAAUACGGAGGGUGCGAGCGUUAAUCGGAAUUACUGGGCGUAAAGCGCAUGCAGGUGGUUUGUUAAGUCAGAUGUGAAAGCCCGGGGCUCAACCUCGGAAUAGCAUUUGAAACUGGCAGACUAGAGUACUGUAGAGGGGGGUAGAAUUUCAGGUGUAGCGGUGAAAUGCGUAGAGAUCUGAAGGAAUACCGGUGGCGAAGGCGGCCCCCUGGACAGAUACUGACACUCAGAUGCGAAAGCGUGGGGAGCAAACAGGAUUAGAUACCCUGGUAGUCCACGCCGUAAACGAUGUCUACUUGGAGGUUGUGGCCUUGAGCCGUGGCUUUCGGAGCUAACGCGUUAAGUAGACCGCCU
rnacentral:rRNA from 1 species